GCCUCCCAAAAGGUAACGGAGGCGUGCAAAGGUUUCCUCGGGCCAGACGGACAUUGGUCCUCGAGUGCAAAGGCAGAAGGGAGCUUGACUGCAAGACUCACCCGUCGAUUUUCUUCGUCAAUGGCGGGCCGGUCACUUGGCAAUCUUCCAAGCAGAAGGUGGUGGCAUUGUC
rnacentral:ncRNA from 1 species